CAUUAGCACUGUGUUGCAUACUUGAAGUGGAAGGAGCUGGUAUAUUAGAACCAAGAAAUAAUUUCUGUAGACCAGUUGUGCUGAUAGCUAUGUGAUUAAGUGCGACUUGUAUGGAUAGAUUAAUAGCUGCUGUUCGACGACCACGUUUCUUUGCGAUCACCUCAUUGUAAAGGUUGAACAUUUUUGAAUGCACAUUUUUCAACUUCUGUUUUUGUCGGAGGCUUCGGCCUUAGAAAGCGAGCUGAUUUUGUAGAGGCAGGAAUGAGUUGAACAUUCUUAUUAUGAACAGAUUUAGUCACUAAGUCAUACAAGUCUUUUGGUAGUCUCACAAAUUUGCCUUUUUCAGCAGGAGGACUGGAAGACAUUUGGGUGUUGAGUCAAAUUUAAUGGAAAAAUUCAGUGCGAACCUGCAAUGUUUAUAAAUGGAGGGCAGUAAAACUUGAAAAUAUGCCGCACAGCUAUAUGUUUUUAUUAGUGCAAAAAAAAGUAGUGCAUGUCUCCUUUCCAGGGAAAUCUAACAUUCUCCUCAAAACUUCCUGAAUGAAGAGUGACUGCAUAUGCAAUUUAGGCAGUUCCUAUGGAAAAUUGCAUUGCUGGUUUUACACAAGUGCAACCUAUAAGACCAUGGGCAGCACGACUUCCUGGUUCGAUGGGAACCCCAGCCGCUUGACAGAGUUUCACGAUGGAUUCUCCAGGGCCAUUAUUUACGUUAUGUAUAGCUGUAUGUACCCUUCCUUUAUAGUUUCUGAAACAACAUUAGCACUGUGUUGCAUACUUGAAGUGGAAGGAGCUGGUAUAUUAGAACCAAGAAAUAAUUUCUGUAGACCAGUUGUGCUGAUAGCUAUGUGAUUAAGUGCGACUUGUAUGGAUAGAUUAAUAGCUGCUGUUCGACGACCACGUUUCUUUGCGAUCACCUCAUUGUAAAGGUUGAACAUUUUUGAAUGGAGGACUGGAAGACAUUUGGGUGUUGAGUCAAAUUUAAUGGAAAAAUUCAGUGCGAACCUGCAAUGUUUAUAAAUGGAGGGCAGUAAAACUUGAAAAUAUGCCGCACAGCUAUAUGUUUUUAUUAGUGCAAAAAAAAGUAGUGCAUGUCUCCUUUCCAGGGAAAUCUAACAUUCUCCUCAAAACUUCCUGAAUGAAGAGUGACUGCAUAUGCAAUUUAGGCAGUUCCUAUGGAAAAUUGCAUUGCUGGUUUUACACAAGUGCAACCUAUAAGACCAUGGGCAGCACGACUUCCUGGUUCGAUGGGAACCCCAGCCGCUUGACAGAGUUUCACGAUGGAUUCUCCAGGGCCAUUAUUUACGUUAUGUAUAGCUAAACAACAUUAGCACUGUGUUGCAUACUUGAAGUGGAAGGAGCUGGUAUAUUAGAACCAAGAAAUAAUUUCUGUAGACCAGUUGUGCUGAUAGCUAUGUGAUUAAGUGCGACUUGUAUGGAUAGAUUAAUAGCUGCUGUUCGACGACCACGUUUCUUUGCGAUCACCUCAUUGUAAAGGUUGAACAUUUUU